rnacentral:rRNA from 1 species
UGGGGAAUAUUGCACAAUGGGCGCAAGCCUGAUGCAGCCAUGCCGCGUGUGUGAAGAAGGCCUUCGGGUUGUAAAGCACUUUCAGCGGGGAGGAAGGCGAUAAGGUUAAUAACCUUGUCGAUUGACGUUACCCGCAGAAGAAGCACCGGCUAACUCCGUGCCAGCAGCCGCGGUAAUACGGAGGGUGCAAGCGUUAAUCGGAAUUACUGGGCGUAAAGCGCACGCAGGCGGUCUGUCAAGUCGGAUGUGAAAUCCCCGGGCUCAACCUGGGAACUGCAUUCGAAACUGGCAGGCUAGAGUCUUGUAGAGGGGGGUAGAAUUCCAGGUGUAGCGGUGAAAUGCGUAGAGAUCUGGAGGAAUACCGGUGGUGAAGGCGGCCCCCUGGACAAAGACUGACGCUCAGGUGCGAAAGCGUGGGGAGCAAACAGG